GCGGGCGUGAUCUAGCUGGUUAGGAUGUGAGCCUUCCAAGCUCAAUGCCCGGGUUCGAAUCCCGGCGCCCGCA
rnacentral:tRNA from 2 species